rnacentral:lncRNA from 1 species
AGGGGACAUUAGGACUUAGCAGGAGAGCCACCGGGCUCUGGGCUGGGGAGGAGGUUGGAGGUGACCUUCCAGAAGGAACGUGGGACAAGGGAGCAAGUGAGCACCUGGUGGGUAGUGGUUACUCUGUGAGGAGCCAGCAGCACCAGCCAAAUAGAAGAUGGAGAAGUGGCCCCCAGCUUCCCAGUUUGGGUUUGGGCCAAGACAACUAAGAAAAGGGUCCACCGUCUUCGCUCCAAGUCAGAUGACCCUGAAUUAUAUCAAGUAGAAAAAUAUCUAACCAGGACAGAGGAGGAUACGAGCCCUCUCAGCUCAUAGACAGGUGGUGAUGUGGUUUCCAACUGACUUUCAAGCGAACAGAUUUCCAAACGCGCUUGAAGAGGGCAGUAAAUGAGAAGGCACAAGACGCAAGAAGAGAGAGAGGUUUGCUGAAAAUCGUGGCUGACCACCUCAGAAGGACCCAGAAGACCCGAACUUUCUGGUUUUGCCUUUCACCUUGCUCUGAAACUUCUCCCAACACUGGAAGACAAGAAAGUUCUGCCCCACCUCCGCCCCCCGGACCGGGGAGAUUCUUCUCAUUGGACAAGCAGGCUUUCUGGACAAUCGUGAUCCGCUGAGUUCCCAUCCCCAUAGAAAGCUGGACAUGGACAUGCAUGCCUGUUUCUGCAGCAUGCUCAACUCCAGGAGCAAACCGGUCUCCUAUAAAUAAAGGAUAACACAU